CUUGCUCAGGUUAGUAAAUGUGUGAGGUCAGUUUUGGACCCAGGUUUUCCUGGCUCCAGGCUCAGCUCUCUAUCCACCAUAUCACUUGGCUGCCUUAAAAACAGAAACUUUGACAGUGCAACUAAAGCUCCACCCCUUCCUCUCAGUUCUUUCUCCUUAUAUAUAUCAAGGCAAACUCUGCUCUCUGCAUACUGUCCUGCCAGAAGGAAGCAGGAGCCCAAGGCUGGAAGAGUUUUUUCCUUUAGGUACCACAAUUGCCUUAAUAGAAAUCAACACUAACUCCUCUCCAGAUCUCCCAGAUCAAUCUCCUCUUCUCCUAAACCCUGUUUGUUCUCUCAGACAUCUCAGUCCUUUACAAGCAGGUCUAACAUGUGCUAUUCAAAGAUGUCAGUCUCAUCAUAUGAGGAAUUCAGGGAAUAUUUGCACCUUUGCACAGACGAAUUCUGUGAUGGUAUUAGAGUUUUGGAAGAAGAGAAGGAGGAUUCAUCAGACUCAGAAGAUAUUGAGAAUUUGACCUCUAAGUAUCAGGAUAAAAUCCAGCAAUCCUUAUUGGAUAAUGUUGAUGCCAACUUUCGGAGACGAAAUCCGGUCCAGGCUACCUAUUCCAUCUCACAGGAAUUGGGCUUGGUGAACUUCAUAAGGAAUGAUGAAGAGGACUCCAAACCUGCUGAUGCUCCCAGACAGUCUGGUUCUUUACUAGAAAGGGCCUUGGCUUUUUGGGAUGCCAUGCUGAAAAAGAUUAAGAAUUGGUGGAAAAAAUUGCUUACUUGGUUAGAAGAGAUGCUUUCUGCCCUGAAGAGAAUGGCAACUUUCUUGUGGGAGGGAAUUAAGGAUGGAGCAACUUUCUUGUGGGAGGGAGUUAAGGAUGGAGCAAUUUUCUUGUGGGAGGGAGCAGUGCAUGCAGUGACGACUGUAUGGGAGUGGUUACAGGGCCUGUUUUGAUCCCCUCCAUUUAAUUCCCCCCCUUUCCAUAAAGAGGGCCCAAUAUCAUGGGUAUCUUGUCAGAUUUCUGUAUUUAGGGUGAUAUUAAUUUGAAAGAUUAUAAAAACAUUACAAAAGAUAGAAGAGGCUGAAUUUCCAUGCACAUAACAGAACGCCAAGAGAAGUGUGUAAACCUUCUUUCUAUUUCAUGGUGUGGGAAUUUAUUUUUCAUAUACUGUAUGAAUUGCUGUAAUUAGAGAGAAUUCCUGUGUUCCCCCGUCUGGGGCCUGGGUCAGAGAUAUCAUGUAGCAGGCUGCCUUUUUCAUUUUCUUUGUUCUUGGAAAUCCCAAAGAACAUCAUCCCUUUGGACAGAAUUUGGUUAAGAAAUGAAGGAGGCAAGGCUUCUUUUCCUGUGGACUUGACUGUCCACCUGUGGGGGUGGAUCAGUGGAUGGAGCACUUAUCACCAAUUAAAGAUGUCUGGGGGACAGACAAUGCUAUCUAUGUAUGCAAUUAGAACACCUUGGGGUGUUCAAGGGAGAGGCUGAACAAUGAGCUCCUAAAGAACUAUUUAUUGGACUACCUGACCCAGUUCAGGUCAUCCCUGGUCAGGAGAGAGCCAUGGAAAAUUAUAUCCCUUUAUCACCUGAUAAUGACGAUUAUCUGUGAAAACCUGGUUCCUCUCAGCAAUGAGAUACAGUGCAAAGCUCUGGGACAAUCCUGAGACUUUUUUUUUAAACCCUUACCUUCCAUCUUGGAAUCAAUACUGUACAUUGGUUCCGAGGCAGAAGAGUGGGAAGGGCUAGGCAAUGGGGGUCAAAUGACUUGCCCAGGGUCACACAGCUGGGAAGUGUCUGAGACCAGAUUUGAACCUAGGACCUCCCAUCUCUAGGUCUGGCUCUCAAUCCAUUGAGCUACUCAGCUGCCCCCAAUCCUGAGACUUCUGAUGGGGAAACUAUCCACCUCCAGAGAAAGGGAGUUGUCUUUCACACCAGUGUAUUUAUGGUUUUAUUUUGGGGUUUUGGUUAUGUAUGAGUUUGCUCUGACAACAAGAGCCAGUAUGGAAGUGUGUUUUGCAUGAUAAUAAAAAUGAAAAAAUAAAAUAAACA
ensembl:lncRNA